GCCUUGGUGGAUCAAUUGGUAGAUCAUCCCUGAGGCCUAAUCAAUGUCACAAUACUUUGUGCCGUUCGGAAGAUAGGGUUCAAAUCCUUCCCAAGGCG